UCUCUCCUCUCUCUCUCACUCGCCCACGAACAGGUUGCGCCGCCACCGUCGUCGUUUCGUUUGGCUCCCACCUCCUCAUGGCGCAGUCCAUGCCCACCCCGUUGGAAUGUCGCCUCCGUCUCCGUUUAGCCGUCGAUGUCCUCCAUCUCUUGUCUUCCGUCUGAUAGGCCAACAGAGAGCAUCUAUUUCUGGGGGCGGCCGGCCACGAGAUCCAUCACCAGAUCGGUGGCGCACCGCACCCCUGAAGCAUGUAUCCAAUUUUUUUCUGGAGUCCUUGGGCGGGCCGCUGCCAGAUCUGCCACGCUCGUGUACACUAUAGCGAUGCAGUGGUGAGCAGCAAAAAGCAACAGAGAGUUUCGGGGACCGCCGGCGAUGUCGUCGUCAUGGAAUAUGUUGGGGCUGGAGGUGCUCUACUAGGUCAUCGAUUAGGUGGACCGCCUUCUCGCCCGGUCGUUCAGCAUCUACCCGCUGGUCAUCCUCAACUACAAGUGCAAGAGUUAUGGCUAAAUAAAAAUCACGACUGGGAAGAAGACUCAGGGAAUAAGAACAGACCAUUAGGAUAUUUGGAUCAGAUCAAAAUCAGAAAAUCGUCACAAAACCGAAGAUACUGCAAAAAAGGUUUUUAAUUACUAAAUUAAGAGUUUUGGUGGUUUCCACAAUUGUAUGAAAAAUUGGAAUUUAAAUUUUUGACCCAUCGAGAUUUGUACUUGUGGCAGUAUGGUCUGAUUGUGUUUAUUUUAGUAACCACAUCCUCCACAACACGGCUUUUCAUAGGUAUUGCUUUCCCUUGACCAUUCCGAUAAUUAAUUAAGCUUUAUCCUAAAAGCCAAUUUUAUCAUUCAACCCUUAAGAAAAUGUGUUAUGCACAGAGAAGUGGCGUUCAAGUGUGAAGUCAGAAACAAACUAACACAUGUUGAUGCAGUUGUUCCCACAUACACACUCUUAGUUAUUUUCCUAUCUGACCAAAUGAUAUCUACUCUUUGUCCAGUUCUUGCAAAAAGGAAUGGAUUAUUGAAUGUUUGCUACUCCAUGGUAUGCUUGAUUGUUGUGUGCUUUUUUGAGCAAAUUGGAUAAUUUGUGGAAAAUCUGAAUUUUAUAUGACGGUCUGAACUUUCUUGUGCAUGAUUGUUGAUAAAUUAUUUUAUUUGAGAUUUGCUAAGCCAAAUUUAGGUGAGCAUACCAUUCCAGCACAUCAAGACAAAUGUAUAUUGUAGUAUUUCCAAAUUAUCGAUAUGGGAGGUUACCAGAGUAGUGUUGUUAAGGGUGUUUUGUUCCCACUACGAUUUGUCUUUCUGUUCUUAGACUUUUUGCAUGUUUUGUACUGGUAUUACAAAGCUUUCAUCAAGGUCAAUGCACACAGAGGUGACGCUGGAGCUGUCUUGCUCGAGGUUAAUUUUAUCCUACUUCGGCUCCAUUGCGCAAAGAUGAACAACAACCCAAGCAAAUUCGGUGCAAAAGACAAUAAAAGUAAUAAGUUAUCACCACUAUGAGCCCCCCUUUGGUUAAAGAUAACUUUACAUAACAACAUUGCAUGAUAAUUUGGGGUUUAAUCCUAAGAUACUCAUUUUUUAUGUGAUAUAAAGUGUUUCAUCAUCCCUUUAGCCUAAUAACACACUUUCUCACUAAAGGUUUCUUCUAUGCUUUCUAAUUAAUGGAGUGACUGUCGAGAUUUGAAUAGCGAAUGUUUUCAAUGUUUGAACGCCACAAUCUCCGUGGAAGGCAUACAGAUAGAACAAUUGUUUUAUUUUAUUAAGCUGAAGCAUGUCAAAGAUUAUUUAGUUACUUUGAUGGGAAAAACAUUGUAUUCACUUAGUACUCAACAUAACAGAAAUUAUGUUGAACUUCCUAUCAUUGAAACAUGAGAUGUUCCAUUGAAAGUUUAUUUAUGUGUCCUACAACAACUUUCAUUAGCAUAUCCUCCAUCCUAUCUUUUUGUUCUGUUAUUCGUUGAGGAGUUCUGUGGGGGUCGUUCGUCUAUUGGAGAAUGUGGGAGAGAGAAAGCAAGGUUGUUCUUCUUAAGUUGCUUACACGUUUGUAGGUUAGCCCCAUAUCUUUGUACAAGUUAAUCCGUGCUCUCUCACAUCAACUUCUUUUUGUUUGAUGGAUAAAUCUUCAUUCAUUAAACAACUCUUUAUGAACUAACUCAAACAUAUAAUCUUGUAGGUACCUUCAUGGCACGAGAUGGACAAUUUCAAUCCACCCUUUAUUCCAAAUUGUCUUACUGAUUCAUGCUAAGCAACUAUGAAAACUUCUGGAUGACCCUUUUUUAUAUAUUGUGUUUGAUGUA